UACGUAGGGGGCGAGCGUUGUCCGGAAUUAUUGGGCGUAAAGAGCGUGUAGGCGGUUCGGUAAGUCUGCCGUGAAAACCUGGGGCUCAACCCUGGAACGCCGGUGGAUACUGUCGAGCUAGAGUACUGUAGAGGAAGGUGGAAUUUCCGGUGUAGCGGUGAAAUGCGUAGAUAUCGGAAGGAACAUCAGUGGCGAAGGCGACCUUCUGGACAGAUACUGACACUGAGACACGAAAGCAUGGGUAGCAAACAGG
rnacentral:rRNA from 1 species